CCUACGGGUGGCAGCAGUGAGGAAUAUUGGUCAAUGGGCGGGAGCCUGAACCAGCCAAGUAGCGUGAAGGAUGACAGCCCUAUGGGUUUUAAACUUCUUUUAUAAGGGAAUAAAGUGCCCCACGUGUGGGGUUUUGUAUGUACCUUAUGAAUAAGCAUCGGCUAAUUCGGCGCCAGCAGCCGCGGUAAUACGGAAGAUGAGAGCGUUAUCCGGAUGUAUUGGGGUUAAUGGGAGCGUGGGCGGUUCCAUAAGUUUGCGGUAAAAUCGUGCGGCUAAACAGUUACUUGCGGUUGAAACUGUGAGACUUGAGUGUGCGAAGGGUAGGUGGAAGUCGUGGUGUAGCGGUAAAAUGCUUAGAUAUCACGAAGAACUCCGAUCGCGAAGGCAAUGUACCGGAGCAAGACUGACGCUGAGGCUCGAAAGUGCGGGUAUCAAACAGGAUUAGAUACCCCAGUAGUC
rnacentral:rRNA from 1 species